GUGACUUUGGCCGAGUGGUUAAGGUUGGCGCUGCUAAAGUCCCUGCGAGAGUUCGAAUGUCUCCAGCAAUG
rnacentral:tRNA from 1 species